rnacentral:rRNA from 1 species
UACGUAGGGGGCAAGCGUUGUCCGGAUUUAUUGGGCGUAAAGAGCGUGUAGGCGGCUAGGUAGGUCCGUUGUGAAAACUCGAGGCUCAACCUCGAGACGUCGGCGGAAACCAUCUGGCUAGAGUCCGGAAGAGGAGAGUGGAAUUCCUGGUGUAGCGGUGAAAUGCGCAGAUAUCAGGAAGAACACCCGUGGCGAAGGCGGCUCUCUGGGACGGUACUGACGCUGAGACGCGAAAGCGUGGGGAGCGAACAGG